rnacentral:snRNA from 1 species
GUGCUUGCUUUAGCAGCACAUGCAUGAACACUGGAAGAAUCCCCCAAACAUUAGCAAGCCCCUGCAGAAGAAUGACAGACUAUUUCACAAAACAGCUCAUGGCUUUU